rnacentral:rRNA from 1 species
CUGCAUGGCUGUCGUCAGCUCGUGUCGUGAGGAUGUGGUUAAGUCCCGCAACGAGCGCAACCCUUGCCAUUAGUUGCUACGAAAGGGCACUCUAAUGGGACUGCCGGUGACAAACCGGAGGAAGGUGGGGAUGACGUCAAGUCCUCAUGGCCCUUAUGGGUAGGGCUUCACACGUCAUACAAUGGUACAUACAGAGGGCUGCUAAAUCGUGAGAUGGAGCCAAUCCCAGAAAGUGUAUCGUAGUCCGGAUUGAAGUCUGCAACUCGACUUCAUGAAGUUGGAAUCGCUAGUAACCGCGGAUCAGCAUGUCGCGGUAAAUACGUUCCCGGGUCUU